UCCUCGGUAGCUCAAUGGUAGAGCGACCGGCUGUUAACCGGUUGGUUCGGAGUUCGAGUCUCUGCCGAGGAG
rnacentral:tRNA from 1 species